GAUGAAUAACGUAGCGAAAUGCGAUAAGUAAUGUGAAUUGCAGAAUUCAGUGAAUCAUCGAAUCUUUGAACGCACCUUGCGCUCCUUGGUAUUCCGAGGAGCAUGCCUGUUUGAGUGUCAUUAAUAUAUCAACCUUCUCUUUUUUGAGUUGUUUGGAUGUGGGGGUUUGCUGGCCUCUUAAAUGAUUCAGCUCCCCUGAAAUGCAUUAGCAGAACAACCUGUUCAUUAGCGUGAUAAUUAUCUAUGCUAUUGAAUGUGAGGGCAGUUCAGCUUUCUAACCGUCCUUGGACAAUUCAUCAUUAAUGUGACCUCAAAUCAGGUAGGACUACCCGCUGAACUUAAGCAUAUCAAUAAGCGGAGGA
rnacentral:misc_RNA from 1 species